UCCUAUUUGGAGGCAGGUGCUGCAUGGCCAUUGGCAAUGCAUACUUCACCUGUGCUCCCCUGUGGCUUUGCCCCGACCCCAUCCAGAAGAUAACAGGGCUGGGGUGAGUGGUUUGACUGUCUGAGGCAUUCAUCUCUCAGCUCCCUGCUGAGCCUGGCGUGAAAGGUGACAAGUUGCAAGGCUUUGUGGACAACUGGAGUGGAUUAGUGACCAAAGACUGCCCAGCAGCCUCCAGCAAGUUUUUACAGCUGAGCUACUUUCCAGCCCCAGAAAUUGUGGUGCAGCCCCUGAACUGUUGAAGUGCAAAUGACUUGACC
rnacentral:lncRNA from 12 species